AAUCCAGAAAAAAAAAAUCUCUUGUGUUGCAUACCUUAUUGUCAUUCCCUUGAGUCGUUGAUGGAAUUAAUUGCUGGGUUGCCGAAUCUGUUUGCACUUGUUUCUUGAACCUUUGUGUUGUUGCUUUGCAAAACUCGAACAUCAAAACCUUAUUGGGGAAGUCUUGAGCUUCUUGGAUCAAAGAGGUUAAUCUUGGCAGUCUUGAAACCUGAAAUAAACCUUCAACCGUGUUCUUGUUUUCAUGGAACUUUGAUCUUGAAACCAAAUCUGUCCAAGUUGUUUACGUUAAUUGCUGUGAAAUUGUGGUCUAAGCUAGCUGGCUAUUGUGUGAAAACACCCCAACAGAAGUCAAAAAAAAUUUCAAGAAAGACGGCUCUAGUUUCCAAUUCUUGACCAGCCUUCAAGUUUUACCAAAUCUGAUUCAAACUUGGACUUUCAAAUCUGAACAGCCCUAGUCUUGGUCAGCAUUCAAGCCACCAAAUCUGAUUCAAACUUGGACUUUCAAAUCUGAACAGCCCUAGUCUUGGUCAGCAUUCAAGCCACCAAAUCUGAUUCAAACUUGGACUUCCAAAUCUGAACAACAUCCAAUUCUUGACAGCCUACAAGUUUACCAAAUUUUGUGCAAAAUCUGACUUCCAAAUCUGACCAGCCCCAAAAUUUCGAAUUUGGACCACUUGGGACUCCCAAAUCUGACCAAACUCCACGGUUUCUAAUCUUGGCAACCCCAAGUGUCCAAAUCAGAUCACGGACCAAAAAGACCAUGGACCAGCAGCUCAACACAUUCCAGAAAUUUGGGUUUCGGGUAGAGUUUUCUAGGAUUUUCAAAAUUUCAGCAUUCAAGUUAAUUGUCUUACUUUCUUUUGAGUCGUUAGUUAUUGUCCAGCUAUAUUCUGAGUCUUGAGUCGUGUCUAGGUCUUCAGUCAUUCACCUCCAUUUAUUGCUACUAGCUUGUGUGUCACUUGUUGCCUAGUCAAGAACGUACACUGCGGUGACGCCUAGUUUGUUCAACUCGAGCAACUAGCAAGCCAAGGAAUUGCUUGGUAAGAUUAUUAGAGAGUGAUACACUUGAGUGAAACACGAGUGUGAGUGACCUAUACAUCGUAAAAAAAAAAAAAAGAGAGAGGAACUCGUUUUUGUUUAUUUGUUUUGCAGGUGAACUAAAUAUGUCUAGUGGAGUGGGUAGCCAAACCAUGGACAUCAAACUACAGUUGGAAGCCAUGAUGGGGGAGUUCAAACGAUUGCUUAAGAAUGAAAUUGAACCAUUGCAUGAUCGAAUUGAUCAGUUGGAGAACUCGAGACCUCCACCUACCCCGAGUAAGGGCAAAGAAUCGGCACACUCAAACGAUGAAGAGGAAGCGUUUGAGGGAAGGUACCAAAAUGAUCAAAGGUUCCAACGUCGAGGAGAUGACACCAUUAAAGGUGUCAAACUCAAGAUUCCUUCAUUCCAAGGCAAGUCGGACCCCGAGGCGUACUUGGAAUGGGAACGGAAAAUUGAGUUAGUUUAUGAAUGCCACACCUAUACGGAGGAGCAAAAGGUGAAACUAGCAGCCGUAGAAUUCACUGACUACGCCUCCAUUUGGUGGGACCAACUUAGACUAAGCCGAAGGAGAAAUCGUGAGAGACCUGUGGAAACUUGGGAGGAAAUGAGGAGUCUGAUGAGAAAAAGGUUCGUUCCGAGCUACUAUAGUCGAGAUCUACACCGUCAGCUACAAGCUCUCAACCAAGGGUCCAUGUCAGUUGAGGAUUAUUACAAGGAGAUGGAAAUGGCCAUCAUGAAGGCGGAUUUACGUGAAGAUGGAGAGGCCACUAUGGCUCGUUUUCUACAUGGAUUGAGGCCCGAGAUUGCCGAAGUAGUGGAACUCCAACACUACCUCGACAUGAAUGAAAUGCUCGAGAAGGCGGUUACAAUUGAACGGCGCCUCAAGAGGAGGGGUACUGCGCGACAAAGCACUACUUAUCAAGCUGGAAAUUGGCACACUUCUCAACCAAAAGGGGAGGAGAAAGCCGCAGCUCCUUCUUACCCUCCAAGGCCGAAUGGCCUCCCUUCCAAGGCAACGCCCAAGCCUGACUUUGAGGCUAAUAAUGCAGCUACCAAACCGCGUGGUCGAGACACCAAGUGCUUUAAGUGUCAAGGAUUUGGCCAUAUCGCUUCUCAAUGCCCCAGCCAAAGGACCAUGCUGAUGUUGCCAAAUGGGGAAAUUGUAUCAGAUGAGGAAGAGGAGUACGAGGGGAUACCGCCUCUAGAAGAGGAAGAGAAUGAGUGAGGAGAUACCUACGCAUGAGGAGAUUGGAUGCCUAGUGGUUCGAAAGGUCCUCACUACCCGCGCCAAAGAGGAGGAAAUGGAGGUACAACGGGACAACCUUUUCUACACAAGGUGUCAUAUCAAGGAUAUGGUGUGUAGUGUUGUUAUUGAUAGUGGGAGUUGUGCCAAUGUCGCUAGUCUACUCAUGGUAGAAAUGCUAGGGCUCCAAGUUAUCAAACAUCCAAGACCUUAUCGCCUUCAAUGGUUGAACAAUGAAGGGGAAGUCCGUGUGUUUAGACAAGUAAAAGUGCCAUUCCGAAUUGGCAAGUAUGAAGACGAGGUUACUUGUGAUGUCGUGCCAAUGCAAGCAAGUCACCUCAUUCUUGGACGGCCUUGGCAAUAUGAUCGCGAUGCCGAAUUCAAGGGAAGAGCUAAUAAAUAUGUCUUUACUCAUUGCAAUAGAACGGUGACACUUGUACCUCUCACCCCAAAACAAGUGUAUGAAGAUCAAAUGAGGCUCCAAAAGGAGUAUGAACUAGAACUUGAGAGGAAAAAGCGAGAGAAAAGUGAGGAAGAAAAAGGAGAGAGUAGGGCCGAACCCCUAGGGAAGAAAAAGGCAACAAGUGGGUCGGCUAUGAGAGAAGAAAAUAAGGGGAAGCUAAGCUUGCUAGCAAAAGCCAAAGAUGAAUUUGAGGACAUAUUUCCUGAGGAUGUACCUGAUGGACUACCACCGCUAAGGGGAAUCGAGCACCAAAUCGAUCUCAUUCCUGGAGCACCAUUGCCUAACAAACCAGCCUAUGUCCAACAAGCUAAUAAGCACAGGCGCAAGCUUGUCUUUGAACCAGGUGAUUGGGUCUGGUUACAUUUGCGCAAGGAGAGGUUUCCAAAACAACGGCAAAGCAAGCUGUCACCACGAGGAGAUGGGCCUUUUCAAGUUAUUGAGCGCAUCAACGACAACGCAUACCGCUUAGAUCUGCCUGGUGAGUAUACUGUUAGUGCUACAUUCAAUGUUGCUUAUCUAAGUCCAUUUAUUGCAGGGGACGAGUACGAUUUGAGGGCAAAUCCUUUUCAAGAGGAGGGGAAUGAUGCGGUUGAGCACGAGGCCCAAAGUGUACAAGUAGACCCUGUGAAGGUGCCCCAAGGCCCAGUGAAACGAGCACGAGCUAAGAGAUUCAAGGAGUCCCUCCAAGCCUUGGUACGUGCCAUCCAAACCCAAGAGAAACUGGGCAUUGAAGGAAUUGAGUUGGAAUAUCCUUGCACGACUACUAAAAUGCUGCUUACAAUUGAAGAUGCGAGUGUUCAAGCUCCAAACGGCGGGCUGAGCCGCAGUUAAGUACCCUCGCUGAGCCGUACGGGGGUCUCGCUGUCCGGUUAGCGAGUCGGGGGUCCAAGGGGGCGACGCGCCCCUGGCUUGGGGGCCCGGGGGCGCAGCGAAGACCCCGGUGGGGGUUCGGGAGCAAUGCCCCCGAUGCUUAUGAUCUAUAGUUAGUUGGGCUAGCUUUCGGUCAAGUAUAGGCCCAAGGGGCUGGCCGAACUUUCCUUGUUAUUUUUCCAGUUUAUUAGGUCUUAGUUACGGCUAUUAAUAGCCUCAAGCCGCAUGUUACAUUCAGUUUUUGAGAGUAUUGAAUAAAAUUUCCAGAAUUUCGUCCAUUGCUUGUGGCAAAUUCCCUUAGCUUGUGAAAGCUAAGUUGAACAUCCUAGAGUCGAUCCUAGGCUGUUCUUGACUUAUCAAUCAAGCACACAUACUUGAUUGUGGCGUCCUCUACCGUUAAAUCUGUUCUUGAGUGGUCCAAGUUCGGGUUCAACUCCAUCAAAUCUUCAUCGUGUUCCUCUAGAUCCGAAGUAGCUUCCGCGUCUCGUAUCAGCUGGCAUCAGAGCUAGUUAGAGGUAUCACGAAUAUCCUUUUUUAUCGUUUUUAGAUCUAUUUUAGUCUGUCAAGUCCGAAAUCUGUCUUUGUUGUUUCCUUGUCAGAAAUCUGUCUUUGUUGUUUAGUUGUUGUCCGAAAUUUUCUGUCCAGUUUUGUCUUGUGUUUAUGUUCUGUUUAAAUCCAGAAAAAAAAAAAAUCUCUUGUGUUGCAUACCUUAUUGUCAUUCCCUUGAGUCGUUGAUGGAAUUAAUUGCUGGGUUGCUGAAUCUGUUUGCACUUGUUUCUUGAACCUUUGUGCUGUUGCUUUGCAAAACUCGAACAUCAAAACCUUAUUGGGGAAGUCUUGAGCUUCUUGGAUCAAAGAGGUUAAUCUUGGCAGUCUUGAAACCUGAAAUAAACCUUCAACCGUGUUCUUGUUUUCAUGGAACUUUGAUCUUGAAACCAAAUCUGUCCAAGUUGUUUACGUUAAUUGCUGUGAAAUUGUGGUCUAAGCUAGCUGGCUAUUGUGUGAAAACACCCCAACAGAAGUCAAAAAAAAAAUUUCAAGAAAGACGGCUCUAGUUUCCAAUUCUUGACCAGCCUUCAAGUUUUACCAAAUCUGAUUCAAACUUGGACUUUCAAAUCUGAACAGCCCUAGUCUUGGUCAGCAUUCAAGCCACCAAAUCUGAUUCAAAC
rnacentral:lncRNA from 1 species